GACGAACGCUGGCGGCGUGCUUAACACAUGCAAGUCGAACGGAGAGAUGAGGGAGCUUGCUCCUUUAGAUCUUAGUGGCGAACGGGUGAGUAACGCGUAAUCAACCUGCCCUUUUGUGGGGGACAACAGAUGGAAACGUCUGCUAAUACCGCAUACGUUCCUGUGGUCGCAUGACUAUAGGAAGAAAGGUGGCCUCUAUUUAUAAGCUACCGCAAAAGGAGGGGAUUGCGUCUGAUUAGCUAGUUGGCGGGGUAAUGGCCCACCAAGGCGAUGAUCAGUAGCCGGUCUGAGAGGAUGGACGGCCACAUUGGGACUGAGACACGGCCCAAACUCCCACGGGAGGUAGCAGUGGGGAAUCUUCCGCAAUGGACGAAAGUCUGACGGAGCAACGCCGCGUGAGUGAUGAAGGCCUUCGGGUUGUAAAGCUCUGUUAAUCGGGACGAAAGAGCGCUGUGCGAAUAGUGCAGCGAAGUGACGGUACCGGAAUAGAAAGCCACGGCUAACUACGUGCCAGCAGCCGCGGUAAUACGUAGGUGGCAAGCGUUGUCCGGAAUUAUUGGGCGUAAAGCGCGCGCAGACGGAUCUGUAAGUCUGUCUUAAAAGUUCGGGGCUCAACCCCGUGAG
rnacentral:rRNA from 1 species